CCCACCUUGGCCUCCCAAAGUGCUGGGAUUACAGGCGUGAGCCACCACACCCGGCCAGAUAUAUAUUUUUUUAUCCUUCACUAUCUGCAUAUACCAUCAUCUUCCUGCCUACAAGAUUAAUGAUUAGUGUGUUUUAAAGAAACCUAUCUUGAAUUAAUUGCUUUAAUUUUCCAGGGGAAAAAAAAUAAAGAAACCUAUCAAAAGAAUGCUGUGACACUCACUGCACUUUUUAAAGAUUUUAUUAUCAUUUUUAUUUAGAGGCAGGGUCUUGCUCUGUAGCUCAGGCUGGAGUACAGCGGUAUGAUCCUAGCUGACUGCAGCUUUCAACUCCUGGGCUCAAGGCAAUUCUCCUGCCUCAGCCUCCAGACUAGCUGGGACUACAGGCACAUGCCACUACACUGGGCUAUUUUAAUUUUUUUAUGGAGACAGGAUCUAACUGUGUUGCCAACACUGGUCACCAACGCCUGGGCUGAGGCGAUGCUCCAGCCUUGGCCACCCAAAGUGCUGGGAUUAUAGGCAUGAACCACCAUGUCCGGCCCAUAUUAUUAUUUUAAACUCAAGCGGAAAAAAAGAAUUCAAACAUGAGAUCCCAGAACAAGAGCAUUAAAGGAAAUAAAUGAAGUCAUGAAGAAAACAAAAUAUCCAGAUAAAGGCAACUGACCAGACUUUAAUACUUAUCCCAAGAAACCAGGAACUGUUUACAUGCUGAUAUUUCCCAUUACUGCCAAAAUCCAAGAAUCAUAGAUCAUCAAGAACUGCUCUGUGCUAGGCACAGUGUAAGGCUCAGUAAGUCAUAGACCUCAUCUUCAAUAAAGGUCGAUGUAAACAGACUUCUCUGUGUCUCCUCUAUCAUAGCAUUUAUUACGUGAUAUUGUCAGGUACAUGCUGGGAACAUUGAGGUAGGUGAUAGCAUCUUGGAAAGCUUCAGAAAUGAUGUGUGAAUUAAAUCUCAGAUGUUGAGUCAGAGCUGUCCAGAUAAUUAGAAGCAUAGGGAGAGGCAUGGAGGUACGAAGAGGGUCCCACUUGGCAGAAUGAAGCAACAGGCUGUCUUUUGGCUGAGGCUCCACUUUGACAAAGGAACUUCAAUGUGUACACAGUCACUGGAAUCAACGCACAGGACUAUAAUAAAAAGGAGGAUAUUCAUCAUACAAAUCUAAACUCAUUUCAUCAACUGGCAAAAUCCAAAAAGGAUUCAUGACCCACUAGAAAUCUCAGAGGCUUCUUGUCAAGAUCUCAAGAGUCCCUCCAUCUCUACACAGCACUCAAAUUUCAAGAAGCUAGCAUUUCCUACCUUGGCUUAUGCACGAGGUUGCCUGGCCGAGGCCCUUGGUCACCGUGGUUUGGAAUCUCUUUCCCUUGUGUUGCUGUGUUCCCGAGAAUCCAGGUUUAUUCCUCACACCAG